UCGCGUCAUGCGCCGAAGGCAGGAGCGGGGGACCCAAGGUAAGUGCCGGCCCGGCGGCCAUGGAGACAUGGCACCGACAACCGGCUUGGGGUGAAGCCGCGCGCACAGCAGUGCCGCGCGGCCGGGCAGCUCACGCCCGAACCCGACAGCUCACCUCGCAGGCGUCGGUGAGGAGAUGU
rnacentral:sRNA from 2 species